rnacentral:lncRNA from 1 species
CGACAAAAUGGCGAUACCCUUAAAAGUUAAAACACUGAUUGGAAACCACAUGUUGAAAACGUAUUGUUGGAUUGGAUAAUACGGCGUACUUUUAUUUCUUGACAUUUUUAUUCGUAAUGAUGGUAUUUAUCUGGUAACAGCCUAUAAUUUCUACAUGGCAAUUUCAUCUGAUCAUGUGGCCUAAGCAGCUGAACAUUCUGCAAAAUGUCGUCUCUUUUUCCUGUACCAGCUUCAUGUUUGUCAGAAACACUUCAGAACAAUUCGGGAUUAACACCCCUGUUAUCUGGUAACAGCCUAUAAUUUCUACAUGGCAAUUUCAUCUGAUCAUGUGGCCUGAGCAGCUGAACAUUUUGCCAAAAUGUCUCUUUUUCCUGUACCAGCUUCACGUUUGUCAGAAACACUUCAGAACAAUUCAGGAUUAACACCCUGGUGGAGUUUGAGCUUCUUUGUUGCUACCCAACUUACACAUGGAUUUGACGUAGCCAGCUGAGGGCUUUAAUUCUUGUUGAUCAUGUAUGUUCGUGUAGUUGCUGUCCGAUACUCCGAUGUGGAACGUUGUUGCAGCCUAUGCUGGUGAAAGAUCUUUCUACAUCAAGUUCAAUUGUCCGUUCCUUGGUGCUGAUGUUGUGUUACCGAAGUUGCAUCAUAUUUUGUUAAAUUGUCAUCGUGACUAUUGCAGUUUACCGUUUAUAAGUUCAGAAGCAACAAAAAAAAUUUGGGAUGUUUAUGUCAACAAAUAAUAAACAUGUUUCCGGGAUUGGGAAAGGAAAGUAGAGGAUGUUGGAGGGGGGAGGGAGGAUAUUUCAAGUUUGGAUAAAAAUUCAGUUAAUCUAUAACCCUACAAAUGUUGCCCUACCAAUUAAUCUCCAAACCCCACAAACAUAUACCUUCCAAUCCUUCAAACCCCAUUGUUACACUUACUAACCCUUAAAUUUAUACCCUUAUCCCUAUAAACCAAUGUUAAACCUUAACCAUGUAAUAUCCGUAAUAAAUAAAAAUAAAUAUAUUGCAUGAACUAAA